rnacentral:lncRNA from 1 species
AGACAUUAGUAAUAAAAUAGCUAAAACAAUUUUAAUUUUACAAAUGGUCAUACAGAAAAUAAAAUUCAUAAUAUUUCAAACUUUUCAAAAAUAAUGAAACAAUCACAAUUUCAAACACAAUGCAAAAACAACAGUAUCUAUCACAUUCUUUAAACUUCAUGCAUUCAUUGUCAUUCAUUUUAACAGGUUCUCAAUGGAAGAGGUUAGGCUUCUGAAUUUAAAAUGAUCCAAACACAUGCAUCAAAAUUCUCUUCCCAAGUUGUUUAUAAAAUAUAGUCAUGAGACAUGGUCAUAACCAGAUUCUCCGCAGGGCGCAGCUUUAUACGACCGCAGAGGUUGAACCCUGAACGGUUGGGACAAGUAUGGACACAACAUUCAAGCUGGAUUCAGCUCUAAAUUUGAAUUGUGAUUAAAUAGUUGACACAGCAUAGGUUUCUGACACAGAAUGAAUGUGGUCUAAUGAACUUAAAAUAUUUUUUUUGCCUUUGAGCAAUUCACUAUGCUGUUGAAUAUUAAUCCUCUCAAAAAAUGUUUGAAGAAAUUUUCCUUUUAUUUAAGAAAUCUGAAAUGAGAAAUAUUGUGCAAUAGAUAUUUCUUGCUAUUGCGCAAUACUGUGCAAUUGAAAAUAUUUGCUAUUGCACAAUACUGUGCAAUUGAAGAUUUCUUGCUAUUGCGCAAUACUGUGCAAUUGAAAAUUUCUUGCUAUUGCACAAUACUGUGCAAUUGAAGAUUUCUUGCUAUUGCUGAAUACUGUGCAAUUGAAAAUUUAUACUUAAUAAUAUAAUAAUUUUGGAUCCUGAUUUGAACCAACUUGAAAACUGGGCCCAUAAUCAAAAAUCUAAGUACAUGUUUAGAUUCAGCAUAUCAAAAAAGUCCAAGAAUUCAAUUUUUGUUAAAAAUCAAAUUUAGUUUAAUUUUGGACCCUUUGGACUUUAAUGUAGACCAAUUUGAAAACAGGACCAAAAAUUAAGAAUCUACAUACACAGUUAGAUUUGGCAUAUCAAAGAACCCCAAUUAUUCAAUUUUUGAUGAAAUCAAACGAAAUUUAAUUUUGGACCCGAUUUGGACCAACUUGAAAACUGGGCCAAUAAUAAAAAAUCUAAGGACAUUUUUAGAUUCAGCAUAUCAAAGAACCCCAAGGAUUCAUUUCUUGUUAAAAUGAAACUAAGUUUAAUUUUGGACCCUUUGGACCUUAAUGUAGACCAAUUUGAAAACGGGACCAAAAAUUAAGAAUCUACAUACACAGUUAGAUUUGGCAUAUCAAAGAACCCCAAUUAUUCAAUUUUUGAUGAAAUCAAACAAAGUUUAAUUUUGACCC